GUCCAGCCGGCGGGCGGAGGGCCGCGGUCGCGCAGGUGUGGCCGCCACACGUGUCCUGCCCGCCCUCGGUCCUCGACCCGGCCGGAGGUGGCCAGCAUUGAGCCGCUGGGCCCGGAGGAGCAGCAGUGCUCCCAGGAGGCGGUGGUGCAGGCCCGCCCGUCCCAGCCCGCCGCCUGAUAAGCAUCCUCUUCGCAGAGGCCAUCACCACCGGCCAGGUCCUGCGGUGUGAUGCCAUCGUGACCUCAUCCAUGGCAUUCAGAUCGUCUCCACCACCCUCGAACUCUGCCUGGAGGACUCUCCGCUGGAGCUGAAGGUCUGGGCU